rnacentral:rRNA from 1 species
GAGUUUGAUCUUGGCUCAGAUUGAACGCUGGCGGCAUGCCUUACACAUGCAAGUCGAACGGCAGCAUGAUCUAGCUUGCUAGAUUGAUGGCGAGUGGCGAACGGGUGAGUAAUACAUCGGAACGUGCCCUGUAGUGGGGGAUAACUAGUCGAAAGAUUAGCUAAUACCGCAUACGACCUGAGGGUGAAAGUGGGGGACCGCAAGGCCUCAUGCUAUAGGAGCGGCCGAUGUCUGAUUAGCUAGUUGUGGGGUAAAGGCCCACCAAGGCGACGAUCAGUAGCUGGUCUGAGAGGACGAUCAGCCACACUGGGACUGAGACACGGCCCAGACUCCUACGGGAGGCAGCAGUGGGGAAUUUUGGACAAUGGGCGAAAGCCUGAUCCAGCAAUGCCGCGUGUGUGAAGAAGGCCUCGG